rnacentral:rRNA from 1 species
UACGGAGGGGGCUAGCGUUGUUCGGAAUUACUGGGCGUAAAGGGUGCGCAGGCGGCCUGGCGCGUCGCGAGUGAAAUCUCCUGGCUCAACUGGGAGGGUGGUCGCGAGACGGCUGGGCUUGAGGCUCGGUGAGGGGCGUGGAAUUCCGGGUGGAGCGGUGAAAUGCGUAGAGAUCCGGAGGAACACCGACGGCGAAGGCAGAUCUCUGGGCCGUAACUGACGCUGAGGAGCGAAAGCGUGGGGAGCGAACAGG